AAUAAACUUGUCCUCUACAAAAGUAUGGAGCAACCCUUCAGCUUAAUAUAAAAUUGUUUUUAUUAUUACUAAACCUAAAAAAAAAGUGUGUGUGUGUGUGUGUG